GCGUUUAUAGUGUAGUGGUUAUCACAUUCGCAUCACACGCGAAAGGCCUUCGGUUCGAACCCGAAUAGACGCA
rnacentral:tRNA from 1 species